UACGUAGGUGGCAAGCGUUGUCCGGAUUUAUUGGGUUUAAAGGGUGCGUAGGCGGCCUUAUAAGUCAGUGCUGAAAUAUCCCGGCUUAACCGGGAGGGUGGCAUUGAUACUGUAGGGCUUGAGUACAGAUGAAGUAGGCGGAAUUGACGGUGUAGCGGUGAAAUGCGUAGAUAUCUGGAGGAACACCGGUGGCGAAGGCGGCAUCCUGGACCAAUACUGACGCUGAGGAGCGAAAGCCAGGGGAGCAAACGGG
rnacentral:rRNA from 1 species